UACGUAGGGUGCGAGCGUUAAUCGGAAUUACUGGGCGUAAAGCGUGCGCAGGCGGUUUUGUAAGUCAGAUGUGAAAUCCCCGGGCUCAACCUGGGAACUGCGUUUGAAACUACAAGGCUAGAGUGUGGCAGAGGGGGGUGGAAUUCCACGUGUAGCAGUGAAAUGCGUAGAGAUGUGGAGGAACACCGAUGGCGAAGGCAGCCCCCUGGGUUAACACUGACGCUCAGGCACGAAAGCGUGGGGAGCAAACAGG
rnacentral:rRNA from 2 species